rnacentral:rRNA from 1 species
GAUGAACGCUGACGGCGUGCCUAAUACAUGCAAGUCGAGCGAACGGACGAGAAGCUUGCUUCUCUGAUGUUAGCGGCGGACGGGUGAGUAACACGUGGAUAACCUACCUAUAAGACUGGGAUAACUUCGGGAAACCGGAGCUAAUACCGGAUAAUAUUUUGAACCGCAUGGUUCAAAAGUGAAAGACGGUCUUGCUGUCACUUAUAGAUGGAUCCGCGCUGCAUUAGCUAGUUGGUAAGGUAACGGCUUACCAAGGCAACGAUGCAUAGCCGACCUGAGAGGGUGAUCGGCCACACUGGAACUGAGACACGGUCCAGACUCCUACGGGAGGCAGCAGUAGGGAAUCUUCCGCAAUGGGCGAAAGCCUGACGGAACAACGCCGCGUGAGUGAUGAAGGUCUUCGGAUCGUAAAACUCUGUUAUUAGGGAAGAACAUAUGUGUAAGUAACUGUGCACAUCUUGACGGUACCUAAUCAGAAAGCCACGGCUAACUACGUG